rnacentral:rRNA from 1 species
GCAAGUCGAACGGAGUGACCCAUUGAAGUUGGAGUGCUUGCACAAAGACGGAUUUGGAUUUCACUCAGUGGCAGACGGGUGAGUAACGCGUGGGUAAUCUACCUCAAAGACUGGGAUAACUUCUGGAAACGGAUGCUAAUACCGGAUGAUUCAUAUUUAGAUAACUAGAUAUGCUAAAAGGAGCUUUUGCUUCACUUUGAGAUGAGCUUGCGUUGUAUUAGCUAGUUGGUGGGGUAAUGGCCUACCAAGGCAACGAUGCAUAUCCGAGCUGAGAGGCUGAUCGGACACAUUGGGACUGAGACACGGCCCAGACUCCUACGGGGGACAGCAGUUAGGAAUAUUCGUCAAUGGGGGAAACCCUGAACGAGCAAUGCCGCGUGAAUGAUGACAAUCCUCUGGAUUGUAAAGUUCUGUUGUAAAGGAAGAAACCUUACUAUAGGUAAUGAUAGUAAGCUGACGGUACUUUACCAGAAAGCCCCGGCUAACUACGUGCCAGCCGCGGC